AUCGCUUCUCGGCCUUUUGGCUAAGAUCAGGUGUGGUAUCUGAGUGGCCAGUGCAAUACCUGGCACACAGUAGAAAUGGAAAAAAAUUUGAACUUUUGUCCGGAGGUUUAUCACACAUAUGUGAGUGCACUAACCUUAAGUGGAUACCUA
rnacentral:snRNA from 1 species